AAUUUCUACCUGGUGUCAGCAAUUUUCUUUUAUUAGGGAGGAGUGAGGAAGCUACCAAACAGCAGCAGAUAAAACUUGAAACAGUUUUGACUGCUUGAACUUAACGUUUUUCAUUUUACUUAGUCCUCCAAUGAGUUCAAUCACUUGGCAUGCCUACUUCACUUUUUUUAAGCGAACUAACAGCGAACAGGCAAU
rnacentral:other from 1 species